rnacentral:rRNA from 1 species
AACGAACGCUGGCGGCAGGCCUAACACAUGCAAGUCGAGCGGACCCUUCGGGGUUAGCGGCGGACGGGUGAGUAACGCGUGGGAAUAUGCCCUUCUCUACGGAAUAGUCCUGGGAAACUGGGGGUAAUACCGUAUACGCCCUUUGGGGGAAAGAUUUAUCGGGGAAGGAUUAGCCCGCGUUGGAUUAGGUAGUUGGUGGGGUAAUGGCCUACCAAGCCGACGAUCCAUAGCUGGUUUGAGAGGAUGAUCAGCCACACUGGGACUGAGACACGGACCAGACUCCUACGGGAGGCAGCAGUGGGGAAUCUUAGACAAUGGGGGCAACCCUGAUCUAGCCAUGCCGCGUGAGUGAUGAAGGCCUUAGGGUUGUAAAGCUCUUUCAGCUGGGAAGAUAAUGACGGUACCAGCAGAAGAAGCCCCGGCUAACUCCGUG